rnacentral:rRNA from 1 species
CAGUCGCCACGGUAAAACGUAGGUGGCAAGCGUCGUCCGGAAUUAUUGGGCGUAAAGGGCUCGCAGGCGGUUUCUUAAGUCUGAUGUGAGAGCCCCCGGCUCAACCGGGGAGGGUCAUUGGAAACUGGGAAACUUGAGUGCAGAAGAGGAGAGUGGAAUUCCACGUGUAGCGGUGAAAUGCGUAGAGAUGUGGAGGAACACCAGUGGCGAAGGCGACUCUCUGGUCUGUAACUGACGCUGAGGAGCGAAAGCGUGGGGAGCGAACAGGAUUAGAUACCCCUGUAGUCCCUGUCUCUUAUAC